GCCCCAGUAGCUCAGUGGAUAGAGCAUUCGCCUUCUAAGCGAAGGGUCGUCAGUUCGAGUCUGACCUGGGGCACCA
rnacentral:tRNA from 1 species